CAGGCCAAUCGGCCGAGCCCGACGAGGGAAGUGGCUGCCCAGGGGCUGUCAGGGCUGCGGGGAGGGUAUGGAAACGGGGAGACCGCCGCUGCUCGGGGAUCGCACCGGAGCCUUCAAACGGCAGGCGGAACCCAGCACUUUAAAGUUUCAGGAGCCCUUUACGGGAACGCGGCGCGCCCUCGGUUAACGGUGCAAGGGCUCCGGGAGGAGGAUUCGGGGGUCGCCCGGCCCGUGGCAGCCCCGCAGUCCCCCCACCCCGGUCCGUGCCGUCCCCACGCGCGACCCACUCGAGACAAAGGCCCGGGGGCCUCCCCGGCCCUGCGUCCCGCCGCUGCCCGGGCCCCACCACCCGCCUCCGCGCUGACAGCCCGGACCUGCCCCACCGUCCCCCAGCCGCACGUGGGCGAGCCCCACUGAAGUUAGUUCGGGCCGAGCCGAGCCGGGCCGGGCCGAGCCGGGGUGGGCCGAGCAGCCGGAGCCGUGUCCGGGUCCGCCGCCAGCGAUGCAUUUGGAAGCGGUGGUGAGGAGAGCUGCGUCUGGUGCUGGGCCCACCGCUACCAGAGAGACCACCGAGAUGGUGAAGGGACUGGAGCAUCUCACAUAUGAGGAAAGGCUGGGAGAGCUGGGAUUCAUCCUGGGGAAGAGAAGGCUGAGGAGGAUCUCAUCAAUGUAUAUAAAUACCUGAAGGGAGGAUGGAGCUUUUCUCAGAGGUGUCCAGUGCCAGGACCAGAAGCAACAGUCACAAACCUAAACACAGGAGGUUCCCUCUGAACAUCAGGAAACACUUUUUGACUGUGGUGGUGACCGAGCACUGGCACAAGUUGCCCAGGGAGGUUGCGGAGUCUCCAUCCUUGGAGGUAUUCAAGAGCCUUCUGGACACGUUCCUGGGCAACUGGCUCUAGCUGGCCCUCCCUGAGGCUGGACCAGAUGACCUCCAGAGGUUCCUUCCAACCUCAACCACUCUGAUGCUGUGAAGCAUUUUGUGUUCAGAUAUGGAUAUGACACCCUAUGUAUAUAUAUGUAUGUACAUACAUAUGUGUAUAUAUGUAUAUAUAUGACACAUAUGUGUAAAAGACAACUAUUUCUUGAGUUUGGCUUUCCUGUGGCGUGACAUUUUUACCAUCUACACCUGCUGCUGGUCGUACAGCAUUGUUCAUACUGUUUGUUUCUCGUCUAGUUCAAUAAUUAUUUUUUUCCUUGUUGUCAGUCCCAUUGGCAAAAUAUUUCUUCUUUUUCUUUUUUAUUAACACUCAUAGCUUCACUUCCUUCAUUUCUGAAUUGGUGUCAUCACCUUUUCCCUUUCGGAGGUGAUAGCCAUUCCCUCAAUACCAACAAAAGGGCAAAGGAAGUCAUGCACAGAAAUAUCAGAAAUACACUUUCAAUAUCAUGACUGUUACCUGUAUUUUUAGAACAUCUCUACGAAAAACUGCUCAGGAGCUCUAGGUUUUAUCUGGUAAGACAGCUAAUGUUUCUUACACAAUUUAUAAAGAUCAGCCACAGUCCUGAACAAGUUGUGGCUUGCAGGAAAGCAACCGUAAUUUGAAGGAUUGUGCUAAUUAAGAAAUAUAAUGCCAAUGGGAAUUUAGUUCCAUCCUAGAUGGCCAAGGAGGAGAGGCAGCCCUAGAAUGGCCAGGUGGGAAGCUACAUUCCCCUCCUCAAGACAGCAGAGACAUGAAAAGGGCUAAGGAGAAUCUAUAUUCUUCUGUAUGAUUUAAAAAUUACAUUUCUUUUUUUAUUUUUAGUCCAAAGUAGUAACUUGAUAAAUCUGGAAAUAAAAAAAUCUUCCGCCUUU